CAUGAGGAAUUGAUCAAAUUGCACUUUCAUAACAGAAACCAUAACUAGCAUAGUUCUCUCUUUCCAACUCUAAGUAUGGGAUUUUCCAUAAAGGUUUGCAUAGACAAUCUUGGUGCGAUAGACAAGAAUCAAACUCAACACGACUGCAAUGAUGCAAAUCCAGACAUUAUCAGGCAAGUAAGGAAGAAGCAUAUGGUACCAUUGCACUUCAAUGUCGUUUCCACUACAGGUGCUAUGCCAAGCAUCCUAAGAAGGAGAC